rnacentral:lncRNA from 1 species
ACACAACCAAUACAUUGUGUGUAGAAAUGCAAUUUUCGGAGUCAUCUUAGCACAAAAUAAACUGUCACCCAUGCAACCAAUAACACAUUCAUCUUAGAUAUAUGUGGUGGGACUUUUCAUGUAGACAAGCUGUUUUCCUGGAAACUACUAAGACAUUCACCAUGCCGACUUUUAUUUUAUAUUUGGCACUUAAGCCACAUGAGUGCACAUAAGAUGUUGCCCAUACAAUCAGUAAAACCAACUCUAACAGCCUAGCCAAAUCUUACUCUCCAUAUUCCCAUUUAGCUAUCCAUUUAGCCAAGAUUCUCUCUUCAUAUUUCGAUACACUCCAACAAACUAGCCAAAUCAGACUCUUCGUAUUGAAAUCAGGUCCACCUGAUCCCCUUUUUCCUCCUACGCGCGUCCUUUUCUCCUAGCGACGCCGCGACCAUAGUGGCCAUGACCUAUGGUUGGACGUUCCCGGCGAUGGGAAGGUCGCCGGCGGCGAAGGGGUAUACCUACGGGUUCAGGCGAUGAGUUGGUCACGGUGACGCAGAUAGAGCAGCUGGCGGGGCAGUGGAGCGAGCGGGACACAGCGAUGCCAACCGGCGGCACGGUCACCAGAACGCCGCGGCGGUGAAGUCGGCGUUCCCGUCGAUUGGGCUGCAAACGCGAGAAACCGAGAGGAGCACCAUGAUGAGGGAGGUGAGACGAACCCAUUUUGGUGGUUGUUUGGGCUGGAACCGAAAGUUGGUCGGGGGCUCACCUCGGAGGUCGACUAUGGCUGUUCUGGGCGGCAGUUGCCCACCAGCGCGCGGCCUCCCCAGCGUGGGAUUCGGCCGGCCGGUGCGAGGGAUACGUAGAGGAGGUCGUGGGCUAGCUGCUGGUGCAAGGGAUUUGAUUUUGGCGGCAUGUGUGGGGAGUAUUUGAGAUGGGGGUGGAGCUCGAGCUUGAGGUUGGCAAUGGCGGUUGGCGCUCUGCCCUGAGCUGCGCGUUGGAGAAGAUGAAGGUGCGGGUGCGAGG